rnacentral:tRNA from 1 species
GUCGUUGUAGUAUAUUGUUGAGUAUUCCCGCCUGUCACGCGGGUGACCCGGGUUCGAUCCCCGGCAACGGCG